CCCGGAGGGGCAUUUUGGAGCACAGCUCUACCCUGGCCUCCCGGGGACGCAUCCUGCAGCAGGGAGCAGGAAAGAGGAACCUGAUGUUCGUAUUGCUGUCCACUCUGCCCACCAGAGGGCAGCAGAUGCACACAAUGAAAACCCCCGGCAGCAUGGCUUAGGAGUUCGAAGUCUACCCCAGAAGACCC
rnacentral:lncRNA from 1 species